rnacentral:rRNA from 1 species
GACGAACGCUGGCGGCGUGCUUAACACAUGCAAGUCGAACGGAAAGGCCCUGCUUUUGUGGGGUGCUCGAGUGGCGAACGGGUGAGUAACACGUGAGUAACCUGCCCUUGACGUUGGGAUAACUUCAGGAAACUGGGGCUAAUACCGGAUAGGAGCUCCUGCUGCAGGGUGGGGGUGGGAAAGUUUCGGCGGGUGGGGAUGGACUCGCGGCUAAUCAGCUUGUUGGUGGGGUAGUGGCUUACCAAGGCUUUGACGGGUAGCCGGCCUGAGAGGGUGACCGGCCACAUUGGGCCUGCGGGACGGCCCAGACUCCUACGGGAGACAGCAGUGGGAAAUAUUGCACAGUGGGCGGAAGCCUAAUGCAGCGACGCCGCGUGCGUGAUGACGGCCUGUGGGUUGUAAACAGCUUUCGCCUGUGACGAAGCGUGAGUGACGGUAAUGGGUGAAGAAGCACCGGCUAACUACGUG